UACAGAGGGUGCAAGCGUUGUUCGGAAUUAUUGGGCGUAAAGAGUAUGUAGGCGGUCUCUUAAGUCUGGUGUGAAAGCCCGGGGCUUAACCCCGGAAGUGCACUGGAUACUGGGAGACUAGAGGAUUAGAGAGGACAGUGGAAUUCCUGGUGUAGGGGUGAAAUCCGUAGAUAUCAGGAGGAACAUCAGUGGCGAAGGCGGCUGUCUGGCUAAUUUCUGACGCUGAGAUACGAAAGCGUGGGGAGCAAACAGG
rnacentral:rRNA from 1 species